AUUGAACGCUGGCGGCAGGCUUAACACAUGCAAGUCGAACGAGUGGCGGACGGGUGAGUAAUGUCUGGGAAACUUGCUGAUGGAGGGGGAUAACUACGGGAAACGGUAGCUAAUACCGCGUACCAUAGGAUGAGCCCAAGUGGGAUUAGGUAGUUGGUGGGGUAAAGGCUCACCAAGGCGACGAUCUCUAGCUGGUCUGAGAGGAUGACCAGCCACACUGGGACUGAGACACGGCCCAGACUCCUACGGGAGGCAGCAGUGGGGAAUAUUGCGCAAUGGGGGCAACCCUGACGCAGCCAUGCCGCGUGAAUGAAGAAGGCCUUCGGGUUGUAAAGUUCUUUCGGUAGCGAGGCGUUACCUGCAGAAGAAGCACCGGCUAACUCCGUGCCAGCAGCCGCGGUAAUUC
rnacentral:rRNA from 1 species